rnacentral:rRNA from 1 species
GAUGAACGCUAGCUACAGGCUUAACACAUGCAAGUCGCGGGGCAGCAUGGGGGUUGCUUGCAAUCCCCGAUGGCGACCGGCGCACGGGUGAGUAACGCGUAUUCAACCUGCCCUUCACCACGGGAUAACCCGGCGAAAGUCGGACUAAUACCGUAUGUUGUCCAUUGACGGCAUCCGAUUUGGACGAAAGGCUUGGCAGUGAGGGAUGGGGAUGCGUCCGAUUAGCCAGACGGCGGGGUAACGGCCCACCGUGGCUACGAUCGGUAGGGGUUCUGAGAGGAAGGUCCCCCACACUGGAACUGAGACACGGUCCAGACUCCUACGGGAGGCAGCAGUGAGGAAUAUUGGUCAAUGGGCGUAAGCCUGAACCAGCCAAGUAGCGUGCAGGAUGACGGCCCUAUGGGUUGUAAACUGCUUUUAUGCGGGGAUAAAGUGGCCCACGUGUGGGCUUUUGCAGGUACCGCAUGAAUAAGGACCGGCUAAUUCCGUG